CAGUCGCCGCGGUAAUACGUAGGUCCCGAGCGUUGUCCGGAUUUAUUGGGCGUAAAGCGAGCGCAGGCGGUUAGAUAAGUCUGAAGUUAAAGGCUGUGGCUUAACCAUAGUACGCUUUGGAAACUGUUUAACUUGAGUGCAAGAGGGGAGAGUGGAAUUCCAUGUGUAGCGGUGAAAUGCGUAGAUAUAUGGAGGAACACCGGUGGCGAAAGCGGCUCUCUGGCUUGUAACUGACGCUGAGGCUCGAAAGCGUGGGGAGCAAACAGGAUUAGAUACCCGCGUAGUCCCUGUCUCUUAUACC
rnacentral:rRNA from 1 species